rnacentral:rRNA from 1 species
GAUGAACGCUGGCGGCGUGCCUAAUACAUGCAAGUCGAGCGAACGGACGAGAAGCUUGCUUCUCUGAUGUUAGCGGCGGACGGGUGAGUAACACGUGGAUAACCUACCUAUAAGACUGGGAUAACUUCGGGAAACCGGAGCUAAUACCGGAUAAUAUUUUGAACCGCAUGGUUCAAAAGUGCAUGACGGUCUUGCUGUCACUUAUAGAUGGAUCCGCGCUGGAUUAGCUAGUUGGUAAGGUAACGGCUUACCAAGGCAACGAUGCAUAGCCGACCUGAGAGGGUGAUCGGCCACACUGGAACUGAGACACGGUCCAGACUCCUACGGGAGGCAGCAGUAGGGAAUCUUCCGCAAUGGGCGAAAGCCUGACGGAGCAACGCCGCGUGAGUGAUGAAGGUCUUCGGAUCGUAAAACUCUGUUAUUAGGGAAGAACAGAUGUGUAAGUAACUGUGCACAUCCUGACGGUACCUAAUCAGAAAGCCACGGCUAACUACGUG